AAUUAAACUACUUAUUAGCAUCUCUUUCCACAUUGGUUUGCCAUUCAAAUACCAUUAGCAUAUAUAAUUCUCAUACGAUUUCAGUUAUAAACCUUCUGCAUAAAGACGUUUAACAAAUAUACCCCAGCAACCUCUUUUGAUUAUCCCAUUCAUCUUCACAUUCUCUACCCAUGACCGGCAAUUAAAAUUAGUUUCCAGAUCCAUCAAUUAGAUCGUAUCAUUUCUUCCCAAUCAAAUUCGUGAUUAAGAGUAGGCCUCCAUUCGCCGUCAAAUUGUGUUGAUUUUUGGGAGUUGGAUCGCGUCACAUGAUUCUUCGUUUUCUAAAUUUCUAUCAUCAGAAAAUGUCUCUAGUUAGAGGAGUUGCGUGUGUAUUGUAGCUGCAAAGUCGAGACUCGUUCGUAGAUGCACUUGGAAGGAAAAGUACCUAAAAGGUACCAAAGAAGAGAUAGUGUAUGCUUCGGUGUUUUUGCUUGAAGCGCGCGGGGACGAAAUUGAAUUGUAAUCUUAAAAAUAAUUUUGAAGGAUAUUUAGUUUGAGAAUUUUAAUUAAAUUAUGUUAAGAAUUUUGUAUAGUUUUUUUUUAAAAAAAUUUAUUAUUGAUGAUAAAAAAUAAUAAAUAGUAGUGAUUUUCGAAAAAAUAAAAUGAUUUAAACGUAAUGUCUUGGAUCAAAAUCCGGAGCGUUACACCCACCAUUUUCUUUCCUUUAUUCCAAAUGACUAUUGACGAUAUCAUCUAUUUUAGGAAUUCAGAUUGUGUAGAAUCUUAUCAAGUCAAGAAGUACACAUAAGGUGUAUAUCAUCAACCAUUAAUAAUAACUAAGUUCAAUUCUUUAAGAGUUGGCUUAAGCAACAUGUGUUGCUUUGACCAUCGUUGUAAUUUUUUGAUCUGUUAUUAGUUUUUAGGAUACUAUGUCUUGAAUAUUAUAACAAUUGAUGCUUGUAGAAGUUUAUGUAUCAUUGACGCAUACAUCACAAUUUCAUCAAAAUAAAAUUUCUAGUCUUAAAAGUUAUUACAUGAGGCUGAAAUUCAUGAGAUGUUUCUUGUAACUAAUAUUAUGUGUAUGACACUUGUAAUGUAUUAUAGGGGUCAGAAAAAAAAAAUUAAAAUAUGUAUA